UACGUAGGGGGCUAGCGUUGUCCGGAUUUAUUGGGCGUAAAGAGCGUGUAGGCGGCCAGGUAGGUCUGCUGUGAAAACUCGAGGCUCAACCUCGAGACGUCGGCGGAAACCAUCUGGCUAGAGUCCGGAAGAGGAGAGUGGAAUUCCUGGUGUAGCGGUGAAAUGCGCAGAUAUCAGGAAGAACACCAAUGGCGAAAGCAGCUCUCUGGGACGUAACUGACGCUGAGACGCGAAAGCGUGGGGAGCAAACAGG
rnacentral:rRNA from 1 species